AUGGCAAGAAAAACGACACCGCUAUGCUACGUAAGUUUCUACGUAAGGUGCUCGGUAUUUCACUUAGGCUACGUAAGUCUCUACGUAAGGUGCUCGGUAUAGAUCUACCAACGGUUGGUAGCCGCGUGCUGUGCACGUGCACGGCAGACAUUGUGUUGCAUGCAGUGCAUGCAGUCCGUGUUCGGAUGUGCAUGCGCGAGGAACUUCCUCCUUUGGAACUGCUUCUUGUAUGAGCUGUUUCGGAUAUUUCGUCUCCUAGAUCCUGGCCUGGCUUAUUUCGUUUCGGCGCUGCUGAGACCUCCUUUCGCGGAAUAUUACUCAAUAUCGACAGUGUGCGAAGAACGCGAGUUCACCUUCUUGACGAAAAUCGUGGACUAACAGUUCGAAGUCAUUGAACUACUUCCAAAAGUUGUAUCGACAUCAACAGGGUUACGAUUUCAGUGCAAUAUGGUGCAGGAUGACCUUAUCACGAUAACCCAUGAUUAUAAACCAUUAUAAACACAGAAUCAACAAAAACAUCUGCG